GUAAGUCCAGCGGGAGCGCAAUGCUAUGUGGAUAUUUCAUCAGAGAGGAACAACUUCUGCAUGUCUCCUGUGUUUCAGGUGUCGUGCCAAAAGUAGUUACCCCCGGCAAAAACCGUUCCCCAAUCCAUGAGAGCGCGCAAAGGAGGAGGAGCCACUUGCCCUCGUUUCUGUACGCUACUUGUCACUGAUCUGCAAUCGCUGUUGUAAAGCGUAAAAACUGGAAAACAACAGGCUCGAUUCGUGAAUGGAUUUUAAUACUAACUUCGUGACAUUGUAAUGUGCCGUGCGGAAGACUAUUGAAAUAACCUGCUGGGAAUAGUUUGUCCAGACAAAGACGUUGAUACUAUGGUUUACACUUCUGUAAUGCACAUUAGCGGUGCUAUCACGAAGAAGUUUAUUUGCAAAAUAAAUCAGAGAAUAACCAAUAACCACAUUAACAUUGGAGAGGAUUUCUUCCUCCCAGCAAAAGUUAUGGAGGGGUACAGAUUUUAUCAGGCUGUAUGGCAGCGUCUGCCAAAAUUUGUGCCCCCCCAUCUAUAAUGCACGUUAGCAGAGUUUUUCUUUGAAAAUAACUAAAAAUUAAAACAACAGAUAAAUAUACACGUCUUUGUCAGUAACAGCGUUUUCCAAAAAUUUGCAAGUCAGUUUUGGCCAACCUUUCGUGGGCCUAUUCGACUCCAACAUUGACACAUUUUUCCAAAAUCUUAGGUCACGUGGGUUUUCCUCGUCAAUUAUGCAAAUUAGUUGACGUUGUGCGCACGAACUGAGUGCCGCUGAGCUAACGAGAAGAUUACAAUUUGUUUUCGAAAAAUAACCAACACCACAAGAGGAUGGAACCAGACGAGUACAAGAGUUUGGUUGCAUAUAAACUAAAAGGCGAGUAUCCAGCGCUUUUCACGAAAAAAGAGAAAUUUCUUCUCCGAAGAAAACCUGCUAUUUACGACAUUUAAAGGUAGUAACAGCAACUUCGUAGCGUUUAUAAAUGUCAUCAAUACAUAUAUUAACACACACACACACACACACACACAAUGGCAAAAUGUGUAGUCUUAAUUUGCACUUACAGAUUUAAUUAGCUUGACCUUUCUUUGACCUAAACAAAAACAAGAGAAGCCAUUUCAAAGCGUUUCUACUGGCCAGGGAUGUCAUUGGACAUCAAUAAUUGGGUGGGUACUCAAAACAAACUCUGUAAUUCUACUACAGCUAACUUAUUUUAAGAUGAACACAGCAAUGUUUCUGUAUCUCUCAAAUUAAUUUAUGUAAACCCUGAUCAUCAGCUGUUGUGUUUCUUUGUGGAUUGCUUUUGUUUUUGAUUAGGUUUCCCAGUGCGCAGUUUGCCAGGCAAGUGCUGCAACAAUUAAAAAACCAGCGGAAUACAUUCCGAUAAAGGUUUCUCAGCCAUUUUAAUUGGGUGGGAUUGACAUUAUUGGGAAUCUUACUGAAACCAACAGCAGACAUCAGUAUAUUUGUGUUUUUAUUGACUAUUUCACAAAGUGGCCACAAGCCAUACCCUUUGAGGUCGAAAUCAGCCAAGGAAGUGACAAACUGUCUCAUAAAAUUUGUCCACCAGUUCGGAGCACCGAAAGGGGUUCUUAGUGACCAAGGCAAAGAAUUUGUCAAUUCUCUCAACAAAAUGGUAUGCAGAUUGUUAAAAGAAGGCUUGGUGGAGAGAAUGAAUGGCACCAUCCAGAGAGCCCCUCUGUAAGGUUGUUGGUGACCAUCCAGAAACGUGGGAUGAGUAUCUGGAUGAUGUGAUGUUUGGACUCAGAACUAAAAAGCAAAUGACCACCUAAUACUCACCCUAUUACCUGAUGUUUGGCAGAGAGGCUCGUUAUCCAUCCGAAAUCCCACAAGAGUACAUGGUUGACGAGAGUGUGGAAGUGGGGCUGGAAGAGCUGUCGCAAGACAUUCGAAAGCAUCAAAAGCUGUUGGAACUGCUGAAGGACAAUGUGGUCAAAGCACAGGAAAAACCAAAGGGCAAAAUUAAAAUGAUGAAGAGAGAUGUUGUCUUCAAAGUUGGUGACAAAGUUUUAACUGCUAACAUAAGAAGCCAGCAGAGGAAAGGGGGGAAAAUUGAAGCAAACGUUUUAGGCCCUUACAUCAUUACAGCAAUCCAAGGUAAAAGUGUGGAUCUUCAGGAUUCCAAUGGGACAAUCAUUCCAAAAGUACAUGUAGACCAACUAAAGUUAGCAAAGACAGUAUGCCAAGAGUGCCACAUCGGGGUUUAAAGGAAACAGCAGCCACAUUACUAAAAGCACAACCAGGUCCAGCAGCACCACAAGCUGCAGCAGCACCAGCAUCUGCUCUAGCUCCAAAGACUACAGCA